rnacentral:rRNA from 1 species
UGGGAACGCGAAGAACCUUACCUAAACUUGACAUCUCCUGAAUUACCCUUAAUCGGGGAAGCCCUUCGGGGCAGGAAGACAGGUGGUGCAUGGUUGUCGUCAGCUCGUGUCGUGAGAUGUUGGGUUAAGUCCCGCAACGAGCGCAACCCUUAUUGUUAGUUGCUACCAUUUAGUUGAGCACUCUAGCGAGACUGCCCGGGUUAACCGGGAGGAAGGUGGGGAUGACGUCAAAUCAUCAUGCCCCUUAUGACCUGGGCUACACACGUGCUACAAUGGAUGGUACAACGAGCAGCAAGACCGCGAGGUCAAGCGAAUCCCUUAAAGCCAUUCUCAGUUCGGAUUGUAGGCUGAAACUCGCCUACAUGAAGCUGGAGUUGCUAGUAAUCGCGAAUCAGAAUGUCGCGGUGAAUACGUUCCCGGGUCUUGUACACACCG